rnacentral:rRNA from 1 species
CCUACGGGAGGCAGCAGUGGGGAAUAUUGGGCAAUGGGCGAAAGCCUGACCCAGCGACGCCGCGUGAGGGACGAAGGCCUUCGGGUUGUAAACCUCUUUCAGCAGGGAAGAAGCGAAAGUGACGGUACCUGCAGAAGAAGCACCGGCUAACUACGUGCCAGCAGCCGCGGUAAUACGUAGGGUGCAAGCGUUGUCCGGAAUUAUUGGGCGUAAAGAGCUCGUAGGUGGUUUGCCACGUCGGAUGUGAAAACCUGAGGCUUAACCUCAGGCCUGCAUUCGAUACGGGCAGACUAGAGUGUGGUAGGGGAGACUGGAAUUCCUGGUGUAGCGGUGAAAUGCGCAGAUAUCAGGAGGAACACCGGUGGCGAAGGCGGGUCUCUGGGCCAUAACCUGACACUGAGGAGCGAAAGCGUGGGGAGCAAACAGGAUUAGAUACCCUGGUAGUCCACGCCGUAAACGGUGGGCACUAGAUGUGGGGACCUUCCACGGUCUCUGCGUCGCNGCUACGCAUAGUCGCCCGCCGUCGGGUAGGUACGGCCGCGACGGACGUAAACGUACGAAAGAAGUAAGUACGGCGUUGAGUACGUUGCCGACGGACGACGACGAGGGAGGAGG